CAAGGAAUAGUUUAUUUAGAAUUUCAGCUUUG
rnacentral:tRNA from 1 species